GUCACUAAAGCUGUAUAGGGAGAAAAGAACAUUUAAAACAAUUUGAUUAGUGAUUAAAAAAAUUAAAUUGUUAAGCCAAAUGCAAGAAUUUUGAAGUAAUUAAUAAACACAUGUACAUACUUACUUGCCCUUAAAGAAGGCAUAAGGUUUGUAAAAUUCUGCCAACCGCAUUGCAAACUUGAUUUUGCGAUUAAGGUCCAUGUAAACUUGCCUAAAAUACUGGCAACUAAGGAUGUUCACCAAAUACAAUACCUUUACAAAUUAGAAACAUAAAAAAUAAAUUAUAAUAAGAUAUGGGAAUUUAUUAAUAAAUUAUUCUAAAAAAUUUAAAUAAAUAUUUAUUUUUCUAUUACAUAUAAUCAAGUCGUUAUACUAUUAAUUUGAGUCAAAUAGAUCCUUAUAGUUAGAGAGUAACUAACUGCCAUUAAUCAAAGCGUCACACGUUGUUUUAAGCCACAUGAUGCUGACAUGAAAAAUAACAUAUAAUCAUGCCAUCAUAGUAUAUCAAUAUGUUACGUCAGUAUUUGUUAUGAUGCAUGUCUGUGAUGUCAACAUAAUGUAACAUAAAAUUACAUCUAACGUUUAACUAAUGAUAGUUAGUUAACCAUUAGUUCUAAAAUCUUAUUUGGUCCAAAAUAAAAAUUUAAGUGUUUGAUUGAAUACAAAGUAUAAUAAGUUAUUUGAAUUUAUCUAAAUAGUUCAAAGACUCUUUAGAUAAUAUGCCAAAAUAAAAAUUAAGACUGUGACAAACCUUUAAUAGGAACACAUAUUUAAUCCACAUGUAUAGAAAAAUUCCAUUGACCGUGCUCAAGAGUGUUACUUUACGAACUUUAACUCUUUGUCUGUUUCUAUUAAUCCAUGGAUUUCAGUGAAAUAACAAUAUAAAAAUUUUUAGUGAAAAAAUUUUUAGUGAACUUCAACACGUUAUUUUAGUAUGUCAUGUCAUUAACUGUUAUGACAUGUCAGCAUAUUGUGUCAAUACUAUGUGAUAUAAAAAAACAUGUAAUGUUUUAAAUAAUGACAGUUAAUUAACCAUUAGUUCUAUGGACUUAUUUGACCCGAAACAAAAGCAUAACAGUUUGAAUGAAUGCAAUUAGAAAAAAAAUAAUUGAUUUGAAUUUUUUAAAUAGUUCAGAGUCCUUUUAAAUAUUAUGUCAAAAUAAAAAUUAGGAAUGUAACAAACCUUCAAUGGAAACACAUAUUUAGUCCACAUGUAGAGAAAAUAUCCAUUGAUUGUGCUCAACACUGUGAGUUUACGAACUUUAACUCGUUGUCCGUUUCUAUUAGACCAUGGGUUUUCAGUGAAAUAACAGUGUAUAAAUUUGCAAAAAUCCCCGAGUUUUAAAGGAUUUUUCAAUGAGGAGCUAACAUGGUAAAUGGUCUGACAAGAUUGAUUACUUGUGUGAACUGACAUGGCCACGACCAUUGCAUUUACCACCAUGUCUGCAGGUAUCUGCAUAAAUUUUGAAAUUCACGUUUUUCACUUGCAAUUAGACCCAGCUAUAGGAAGAAAAUGGUAUAUGUUAUCCAGAGAUUAAAAAUUCUCACCACAUCGAGGGCAGAGUUAGGAUAGCCAGGAAAACAUGUUAAUUUCCCCUUGCCAUAACUCACAAUGACGCUAUCUAUAGUUCUGUAGUAACACAAAUAUUAAUGAGUCAUUAUUCCAAAUAUACAAUGUUAAUGAAAGCAAUAAAUUGCAUUAAUGAAAUAUAAUAAUAAUCCUAAAUCAAAUACCAUAAAAAUUUGAAGUUACAAUUUGGUCAUGAUAAUUACCUCACACCUUCAAUCCAGCCAGGGAAGGGUUCUUUAUAAGUGCUUGCAAUCAUGGUAGGGCGGAUAAUGACAAAAGGCAAAUCUCCUUUGAAGUUCCCUAAAAGCAUCUCUCCCAUUGCCUUUGUAAACACGUAUGUGUUAGGCCACCCAUACAAUUUUGCCCUGUAUUCAUAAGAAACAAGGUUUACCACUGUUUUCUUUUUACUUUUUUUUUUUAAAUUUAAGAUAUCGUCCAUACAAUUCAAGGUGAAGUGAAAAUGAUGACGGUGAGAGAGAAACCUUUUGAGGCCGAAUUCCUUCAUUUCUGAUUUUAUUACUUCGUUUGGGGCAUGUUGGAAUCGCAAUUCAUCUAAUUUUUCCUCUACAAUUCUCUUCUCUUCAAUAAUGUCUAAUUUACAUGUUUUCAACAAUGUAUCAUCCACGGAAAAUGGUUUUUCUAAUAUAAUUCCUGCUUCUUCACCGCACACGUAGGCUAAAAGAAAAUUAUGAUAAAAAGCAUGAUUGUCAAUCUUAAUUUAUCUCCGAUAUAUGUUCUGAAUGCACUAAAAUUUAACUAUGUAUAUAACAAAUAUCAACCACUAAUUAAUCAAGAACGAUCAAUUAAUUUCAUAUUUACCAGUUGAUGUGUGGAGAAACAGCUUUAUCUUAUCACAUUUCUUCGCAAAGCUCAAAACGUUAAGAGCUCCAAACGUAUUGAUGGCCAAUGCAACAUCAUAGCUUGAAAAAUAAGAGGAAAGAAGAAAAGAAAAGCGGCGAAUUAUAGGCAAAAUUAUGUUCUUAAGACAUACUCCUACAAUUCAAAUAUGAGGAUUCUAAAUUACCUUUCAUUGAAUCCUGUCGUGGCAGCAACAUGUACUACAAUUUCUAUUUCUUUCAACAUUUGUUCCCUUAAUUUUGAUUCAUUCACCCCCAAGUUUUCGGAAGAAAUAUCGCCAGGCACUGCUAUCACCUUGGUUAAUAUAAAGGAAUCAAAUUCCGAACCCCAAUUGUCUCGAAGAAUCGUAAACAAUUCUGUAUCUAUAAUCUACAUAAAAAUUAAGAUGUGUAAGUUUUUUUUUUUUGUGAAUUUGAAAUUGAAUUUUAUAUCACGUGUAACAAAUUGGAUUGAAAUAAAAAUUUUAAUUUCAAAUUUAGUAUGAAUCAUAUGAUAGAACAGUAGUAAUUACGAAUAUGACUUUCAUGAUUAUCGUAAAAUUGUCUGAAUUAUGGAACUUAAAAUUCAUUAUAUACCUCACUAUGCAGGCGUUUUGUGGCAGAUUUAGCAUCUGCAGCCUUCAAAAGAAGAUAGAGCUUAUUCACAUUUGGUUGAAUCCUUAAUAUCUUCUCGACAAAGACUGAAACCGGAGUUCAGAAUUAAAUGAUUAAGUAAAACUAAAAUGAUUAAUUAUAUUGUGUUUUAAAUGAAAUCAUCAUCCUUGGCUUCGUAAGAGAGAGAGAGAGUACUCUUUGCCAAAAAUCCAGUUGCACCAGUGACUAAAAUAGUUUUGCCUUGAAGAAACUUGACAACAUGAUCCAACUCCAUAUUCAUGUCUGAGAACCCAAAAAGAAAUCAAAUAAAAGAAGUAACUUUUUUAUAAUAUUUAUUGGAAUAAAAUUGGGUAAAAUUCAAUAUUUGAUAGAAGAAAAGAUAAGAUAAAUGUAUGCUUCCCAACAUCUAAAUUGCAAUGUUUAAUGAUAAUUUGGAAGUAUUGAAAAUAAUAGUAAUUAAAGUUGAAAAAUAAUAUAACAUGUGGCAUCACCUUGAUUUUGGAAUUUCUUUUCCCCUGUUUUUUUUUUCUCUUGUUCUUUUGCCUGUUCUUCCUCUUCGUCUUUAUGUGAGUUCUAAAAGGUAUUUAUAGGGGAGAACCAGAGCUGUCGAUGGAAGGGGAAAACCCCCAUUUUGGUGCCCUUAGGCCACAGCUUUUGUGCAGUGAAUGAGUUAUGGCAUUGAUAGAGGAGAACCAGAGCUGUUGAUGGUAGUGGAAAACCCCCAUUUUGGUGCCCUUAGGCCAAAGCUAUUGGUGGUCCUAUUUCGUGUAUCAUAUCCCAUCUUAAUUGAAUGUGAAUAUGAUUGUUAACACCUUUAUAAGACUUUAGGUUAAUCACUAUUAGUAAAUUAUGUUUAAACUUUUAAAAAUUAUGUAAUUUAGAUCCGAAAAAUUACUAGACUGGUGAUGUUUGCAUCAGGAUCAUUACACUAUGUGGUUCGGAGUAUGCAUGUUAGAUUACAGCUAACUGAGGGCAGAAGCUGGAAGCAGGAUUAACGACCUAAAUGAGGAAGGCAAAGGAGAGACGUGUCAAGGUCAAGGAUGGAUUAGUAGGAGGGAUACCUUCCAUCUCUGCUCUCCUCAAACACUUAUAUUUGCUUUAAAAUGAUAUGGAAUGUGGACAAAUAAAUAUUUUUUUAGUACAAAAAAAAAAGAAUAGAAGGUAUGUUUGAGAUUUCACUUAAUGACAAUUAAGUGAUUUGGUGUAGCAUUGCUGUAAUGAUCUACAAUAAGGGAUUGAUAAUUUCACACCUAUUGAGGAGAAAUUUAUAUGCUGGUGGAGAAAUUAUCAGUUUGAUUGCUGUUGAUGUUGGGAGGGUUGGAGAGUUUAACUGGUGUUUACAUGGUCUACGGAUGGCCCUUUUGCAAGUUGUACGGAAAUCUUGGUUUUUCCUAACUUGUGGCUUUUGCUGCAACAGUCUUGCUAAUUAAUGCUUGCAAAGCUUCCAUUAGGCAAAUUGCAAUGGAAGCUUCAGGACAAAUUGAUGGAUUCAAAAGGUAAAAAGAAUGAAGGCAACAUCUAAGGUUUUAAAGAAUAUGAGAAUUCUGAAGCUUCAGGGAUGGGAAACGAUGUUCAAUUUGAAUUCAAAAGAAGAAUUUUAAUUUCAUAUUACAAAUUAACAUGAUUUUCAUGAUUAUCAUCAAAUUGUCUGAAUCAUGUUAACGAAGUGCGGAACUUAAAAUUCAUUAUAUAUCUCAGUAUGCAAGCAUUUUGUGAGAGAUUUAAUAUCUGCAGCCCCUACAGAAGACAACUUAUUCACCAUUUGGUUGAAUCCUUAAUUAAUAUUACUCUUUGCCAAAAAUCCAGUUGCACCAGUGAUUAACAUAGUCUUGCCUGGAAGAAACUUGACAACGUUAUCCAACUCUAUAUGCAUGUAUGAGAAUCCAGAAAGAAAUCAAAUUAAAAAAAGUAAUUUAUUUAUUGUAUAUAUUGGAAUAAAAUUGGGUAAAUUUGAAUAAUUUAAUAGAGAAAAGAUCAGAUAUAUAUCCUUCCCAACACUUCACCAAGAAAUUGCAAUGUUUAAUGAUAAUUUGGAAGUAUUGAAAAUAAUAUUAAUUAGUGACUUGAAAAAUAAGAUAACAUGUGGACACCAACUUGAUUUUGGAAUUUCUUUUCCCUUGUUUUUUAUUUUCUUGUUCUUUAACCUGUUUUCCUCAUUUUGCGAAUUUGAGUUUAAGAGGUAUUUAUAGGGGAGAACCUGAGCUGUUGAUGGUUCUUGUCAAAAAUACCUCUCAUACAUAAUGUGCUUUUUUAAAAUAGCUCUCUCUAUAAUUUUAACUAUUUUUAGUCAAGAGAAAUUACUUUUGGACUAAAUUACCUUUAAUGAAACAAACCCAUAUGUUUAGGUCUGCGCCUCAAACUGACUCAUAUCCUUUGAUCUUUCCUCAUCAGACCAUUUAUCUCUGGAGUAUUUCUUACCAGAAAGAAAAACUUUUAAGCAUUUUGAGUAUUUUAGAGUGAUUUUUGAUAUACGUAGAAAACUUUUGAGCGUUUUGAGUAUUUUUAAGCAUUUGGAGUCGUUUUUGAUACAUAAAGAAAAACCUUUGAGCAUUUUAAGCAUUCUUCGACAAGUACGCAUAUUCGUUGAUUAUAUUGUUAAAUAGAAUAUGGUAUAUUAUUUGAAGUUGUUGAUUUUGUUAAAUGAAAUUCAGUAAUUUUGGUGAUUUUUAGGCCUUGGGUAACCGAUAUUUGUGCAUUGCGUGACUAGUUUUUAGGCAUUGCAUUACUAAUUUUUAGGCAUUGCAGGAUUGAUUUUUAAGUAUUAUGUGACUAGUUGAUAUGACAUUACCUAACAGAUUGAUAGACAUUGCGUGACUGGUUAGUAAGGCGUUGCAUAACUAGUUAGGAAGACCUUGUGUGACUUAGGCAUUGCCUAAAAAUCAGUCGCAUAAUACCUAAAAAUCAAUCACACAAUGCCAAAAACCAAUCACGUAAUGCCUGAAUAUUAGAGACGUAAUGAUUAAGGCAUGCAAUGCCUAAAAACUAGUCUUACAAUACCUAAAAGCUAGUAAAGCAAUACCUAAUAACUAAUUGAUUUACUUGCUCGCAGUCAGGUUUAAGUUGCCAAAGUCAUACAGUAUUCUAAUUUUUUUUUUUUAUAAUUGGGGGAGAGGGGAUUCGAACCCUGCUCUUUAAGCAAGGCGAUAAUGCACCAACCAAUGAGCCAAAUGCUCUUGAGUCAUACAAUGUUCUAAUUUAUAGAUAUAUCUAAUCAAUUUCAACCCCCUCAACUAUGGGGUUCUAUGAAUAAAUCAAUAAACCCAAUAACUUAAAACACAUACCUUGAUAUCAUCUCUGCACUUUGGGGUGGCAAGAAAGAGCUGGACGACGAGAUAGACAGUAUUUGCCAAGAGAGAGAAAUCGGGAUUUGAUUUUGAAAUUUUUGUCUGGAUGGUGACAUAAAGAAAACUGAAACCAUUUUAAUUUGUCUGAAAUUAUUUAAAGGGCAUUGUUAUCAAGUCAUGUCAAAAAUUGACUAAAAAUAGUUAAAAUUAUAAUGAAGGAUAUUUUUGAAUUACGUUUAUGAGAAGGAUUAUUUCUCAUAAUUUUCUCUAGUAGAAAACACCCCAUUUUGGUGCCCUUAGGCCACUACUUUUGAGCAAUGAAUGAAGUUAUGGCAACCGAUGGUCCUAUUUCAUGUAAUGGCCUUUCCUUUCUGAAAUUGGGUACUUCAAUCCGAACAUAAAGUUAGGUUUAGUUUCUACCAAAUUUAGGGGCAUGCUAGAGGGAAGCCCCAGCCGAAAGAAUGUGGAGGUGGAUUCCAAUGGGUUUGUUAAGCAGGUGCAGACAUUGCUAUCAGUUUGUCCAGUUUGGCUCUCAGAGUCAAAAAAGGUUGCUCUCUAACAAUCCCUAUCAAGGUCUUAGACUGAACCCCACAAGAAAUAUUUGGUCUUUAAUUACUUGGGGUAAGAAAACAAACAAAAAUUCAGACUAUGAAUUCUUUAUUUUACUUUGAAGCAAAGAUAAAAUGAUGAAGUAUCAACUACACAAAUAAAUGAAGAACUAUCAAAGCAAUAACAUCUGUUAUUGGUCACAACGAAAGUAAUGCAAGUAUUCUCCUUCUUUCCUCAUCCGUUAAGUUGUUCAAAGCUUGAUGCCCACUACUUCGUUUUUUUUUUAAGAUUUGAAGAAGGAGAUUCAAACUUUACUCUUCAAAUAGGAAGAUUAUACAUCAGCUAAUGAAUCAAAUAUUCGUGUGUGCCUUCUAUGUAAAUUUUAUUCAAUUAAUUUUAUUUUUUAAUAAUAAUUAAGAUUUAAUCCAUGUCUUAAGACGCCAGGAAUGUGAAUGUUCAUCAUGUAAUCCUUCCAAUCAAUACUCUUGGAAUCGAAGUCAAAUACACCCAUAUCAAUGCCUCUCCCUUGAGCCACCAUUCGCAACUUGUCUAAAUUUGUGUCACUAAAGCUGUAUAGGGAGAAAAGAACAUUUAAAACAAUUUAAUCAGAGAUUAAAAAAAUUAAAUUGCUAAGCCAAAUGCAAGAAUUUUGAAAUAAUUAAUAAACACAUAUACAUUCUUACUUGCCCUUAAGGAACACAUAAGGUUUGUAAAAUUCUGAGAACCACAUUGCAAACUUGAUUUUGCAAUUAAGGUCCAUGUAAACUUGCCUGAAAUACUGGCAACUAAGGAUGUUCACCAAAUGCAAUACCUUUACAAAUUAGAAACAUAAAAAUAUAUAUAUUAUAAUAAGAAAUGAGAAUUAAUUAAAUAAGAGAAGUUCUUAU
rnacentral:lncRNA from 1 species